rnacentral:ncRNA from 1 species
CUCUUAUCAAGAGCGGCGGAGGGACAGGCCCGAUGAAGCCCGGCAACCGGCGGUUACGCCAAGGUGCCAAGCCCGACCCCGGCGUCAACGGGGAUGGAUGAGAG